rfam:Triticum aestivum genome assembly, contig: Triticum_aestivum_CS42_TGACv1_scaffold_222118_3B
CUUAUACUCCCUCCGUCCGAAAAUACUUGUCAUUAAAAUAGAUAAAAGGAGAUGUAUCUAGACGUAUUUUAGUUCUAGAUACGUCUUUUAAUUAAUUUUGAUGACAAAUAUUUCCGGACGGAGGGAGUAUGAA